CAAAAUAAAUCAAAUCACGGUGCCCAUAGGGGCUUGAUAGGGAAGAGGGGUGCAUUUCCAUUUGGAAAGAGUCCCCCGCGGACCCGCCGCUGUAAGCGAGGACAAAGGGCAAUAAUGUCACUGAUCAUUAGAUUGGGAAGACGCCCGGAGGAUGAAUCGCAAGCCAGAAGACCUGCCGAUGAUCUCAACACUCA
rnacentral:ncRNA from 2 species